CUCGUAGGCGGCUUGUCGCGUCGACUGUGAAAUCCCGUGGCUCAACUGCGGGCUUGCAGCCGAUACGGGCAGGCUAGAGUUCGGUAGGGGAGACUGGAAUUCCUGGUGUAGCGGUGAAAUGCGCAGAUAUCAGGAGGAACACCGGUGGCGAAGGCGGGUCUCUGGGCCGAUACUGACGCUGAGGAGCGAAAGCGUGGGGGCGAACA
rnacentral:rRNA from 1 species